UACGGAAGAUGCGAGCGUUAUCCGGAUUUAUUGGGUUUAAAGGGAGCGUAGGCGGGCAGUCAAGCCAGCGGUCAAAUGUCGGUGCCCAACAUCGGCCUGCCGUUGGAACUGGCAGUCUUGAAUGCGGUCAAAGGAGGCGGAAUUCGCCAUGUAGCGGUGAAAUGCUUAGAUAUGGCGAAGAACCCCGAUUGCGAAGGCAGCCUCCUGGUCCGUGAUUGACGCUGAGGCUCGAAAGCGCGGGUAUCGAACAGG
rnacentral:rRNA from 1 species